CUUUGAUAUGUGGUUUACAGGUACAGUGGAAUCAGUUGCAGGGCUGGAGCCUGUAUGAAUCAAAUGAUUUCUCCAGCAGCAAGCUCUUACGUGGAGGUUGCCUUCCCAUGGCCUGACCUGGGCACAGCUGAUGCUCCAUCCGUGAUGCUGGGGCCUUACUUGCAAGCUGAGAAUCAUGCCAGUAAAGCUUAGGAGGAAUCUUUCUGCCUGACAUCAUGCAUCACAUGGGAAGUACCUGGCCCCACAUCCUGACCUGGCUGAAAUGAACCAA
rnacentral:lncRNA from 1 species